rnacentral:rRNA from 1 species
UAUACAUGCAAGUCGUACGAGAGUUUUUAACUCAAGUGGCGGACGGGUGAGUAACACGUAAGAAUUUGCCUUUAGGAGGGGGACAACAACUGGAAACGGCUGCUAAUACCCCAUAUGCUUUCGAGUGAAAUGGAUUUUUCCGCCUAGAGAGAAGCUUGCGGCUGAUUAGCUUGUUGGUGAGGUAAUGGCUCACCAAGGCGACGAUCAGUAUCUGGUUUGAGAGGACGAUCAGACACACUGGAGCUGAGACACGGUCCAGACUCCUACGGGAGGCAGCAGUAGGGAAUUUUCCGCAAUGGGCGAAAGCCUGACGGAGCAAUCUCGCGUGAGGGAUGACGGCCUAUGGGUUGUAAACCUCUUUUUCCAGGGAGGAAUAAAUGACGUGUACCUGAAGAAUAAGCAUCGGCUAACUCCGUGCCAGCAGCCGCGGUAAGACGGAGGAUGCAAGUGUUAUCCGGAAUCACUGGGCGUAAAGCGUCUGUAGGUGGUUUAAUAAGUCAACUGUUAAAUCUUGAAGCUCAACUUCGAAAUCGCAGUCGAAACUAUUAGACUAGAGUAUAGUAGGGGUAAAGGGAAUUUCCAGUGGAGCGGUGAAAUGCGUAGAGAUUGGAAAGAACACCGAUGGCGAA